ACGUAGGGGGCAAGCGUUAUCCGGAAUUAUUGGGCGUAAAGAGUGCGUAGGUGGUUUUUUAAGCGUGAGGUGAAAGGCAAUAGCUUAACUAUUGUAAGCCUUGCGAACUGGAAGACUUGAGUGCAGGAGAGGAAAGUGGAAUUCCUAGUGUAGGGGUGAAAAGGCGUGAAAUUAGGAGGAACCCCCGGGGCGAAGGCGACUUUCUGGACUUGAACCGACCACUAGGCAACGAAGGGUGGGGAGCAAACAG
rnacentral:rRNA from 1 species